UUAAUUACAAGAUAUAGAAUUAUUUUUCGCGAAGUUGGAGGAGCUAGUUACUAUAUAUUUGUAGAUAAAAAGGUGUUGCAAAACUAAUCAAAUAGUAAUUAGGAGUGAUAGGCUUAUCAUAUUCGACGAUAACUUGCUGAUUUUAAAAUGUAUAAGUACAUAGACACUCUUAGAGUGAUAAGGCUCUAAGAGUCAAAUUAAUUUUUAUAUAUUUGAAGUAUAUUACUUAAUCGUUAAUACAAAUAGUAUUAUAUUAUUAAUUUAAUUUCCUUGUUUGAUGUAAAAAUCUAUAAACGAAUUGCGAAAAAAUAAACAAUGUUAAUAUUAGUAACAUAAGAUAUUAAUAAUGAACUCGGCAAGAAGCCUUUCAACUGUUUAUCAAAAACAUAGCUAUGCGAAUUUAUGUAUAGUAUUUUCUGCUCAAUGAAUAUUUAAAUAGCCGCAGUACCCUGACUGUGCUAAGGUAGCGCAAUCAAUUGACUUUUAAAUGAAGUCCAGUAUGAAAGAAAUCAUGGAGGGCUACUCUCUCAUUAAUAGUAAAUGAAUUUACUUAGGGAGUGAAAAUUCUCUCAUUUAAAUAAUAGACGAGAAGACCCUAGAAAUUUUGAGUGGAACUUUUUGUUGGGGCAACAAAGUAGCAAAAUAAUCUACUAUUAUAACCAGAAAUAAAUAAUUUGGGAGAUAAAAUUACUCUAGGGAUAACAGCAUAAUUUGAAAGAGUUUGUGACCUCGAUGUUGGAUUAGGGAAUUUGCGUUUAAAAG
rnacentral:rRNA from 1 species